GCUGUUCCUAGACAUUUCACAACUAGAGGGAAUUCUCCUCAUUAGUCCCCCAAGGAACUGUUUCCUUCUUACCCACAGUUUUGCAGUUGUAGUAAUAGAAGACAGUGGCCUGCCCUGCCUCCUUGAAUUUCUUCAGAUACCCGCACGGUAUCUCUUCCAGAAACAUGCUGGAAUAAAUCAUUGGAAAGUGAUGAAGAAAUGGCUGUAUCUCAUAGAGAAUGGGAGGAGUUUUGCAGAAAAUGGCUGGAGAAAGGUCAAAUUUGUGAGUAUUGUAUAUUGUGAAAUGUACAUUGUGAAACUAAUGAAAAACUUGUGAAAUUAGCUUUUACUGA
rnacentral:lncRNA from 1 species